AGUAAGGUUUGUAAUGAAAUGUGAGAAGAAAGCUGGGAUUCCUGACACUAUAUCAGUGUAGAUUAAACCAAUUCCAGGUACUCUAGAAACUCCAAGUCCUGGGCUUAAAUCUGUAAGCCAUUCGGUAGGCACCUUGUUUUGUAAAUCAAACUCAUAUUUCUUCUUAGUUCCAUAAUGCCAUGCGAACAUGACUGUGAAGG
rnacentral:misc_RNA from 1 species